GAAUUAAGAUAAUCAAAAGUUAGCUUCUAACUUCACUUUUUAGCAGUGAAAAUCUGUUAUUAAUUCU
rnacentral:tRNA from 1 species